rnacentral:lncRNA from 1 species
CACAGCGGGGGCGUGGGGGAGUGGGGGCUGCUCCCAAGUGGUAUUAUUUAUCCGACUAUGCUCAGUUGGGCAGGGGAGUCACUGACUGCCACUCUAUCUAGGCUUGCUGUGAACCCAGACAAAUGAAGGACUGCAGUGCUGGGUCAGGCUUAGUAAUGGGUUGCAACUAGGAAGAUUUGGGGAAGGUCAGGUUUUCAUAGAGGCCAUGUAUGGGGAAAGAACAGUCAGGGGAAAAGGAAUUUGGGUUGAACUGUUUUGGAUCCUGGCCUGGCCUCUUCUCUGCUCAUGAAUAGAAAGCCAGAAGGGCAUUAAGUUAUUUCUUUUGUUUUGUUUUUUCUUUCCUUCUCCCCUCCCUGCUUUGGGCUAAGAUCCCAAGGGAGGCCUAGGGGGCAGGACAUCCCACACCCUUGCAGGGCAAAAGCCCCGGGUCCCAUUCUUCCCAACAGCCAAGCAACCCUGCCUGCAAUGCACUGGGAGCCAGUAGCAGUGGGCAGAGAGAGCUGA